CUGUCGAAGCGGGACCGUGCAGGGCCUUCAUACCACGGUGGGCCUACAGCGCGAGCUGCGCCAGUGUGAGCGCAUCAUAUACGGCGGCUGCGGCGGCAACGACAACAACUGAGUCGGAGGCGCUUGCCGAGCGCGGUGCGGGGGAGGGCAGGCGCCCGCGGCGUCGUGUCCGAGGGGCCUCUCGAAUCUGUUUCUUCUGUCCCGAACAAGCCGUCUGCGAAUCGAAUGCCAACUGCAGCACGGAUUCCUCUGCUGUCCCGGACCGCGCGCGUGCCAAGGAAGGAAGAUCUGCGCCGAAGCGGGAGACCUCGCCUCCACCGGUAUAUAACCCGUGCCGUACCGGAGAACCGAUACCAGACCCCAGCUCAUCUGUUGGAUCUAGGACUUGCUCGUCUCGCACCCCAUGUCCUCUGGCAUACUCUGCA